rnacentral:rRNA from 1 species
UACGAAGGGGGCUAGCGUUGUUCGGAAUUACUGGGCGUAAAGCGCGCGCAGGCGGUCUUCCAAGUCAGUGGUGAAAGCCCGGAGCUCAACUCCGGAACUGCCAUUGAAACUGUUAGACUUGAGGAUGAGAGAGGUGAGUGGAAUUCCCAGUGUAGAGGUGAAAUUCGUAGAUAUUGGGAAGAACACCGGUGGCGAAGGCGGCUCACUGGCUCAUUACUGACGCUCAGGCGCGAAAGCCAGGGGAGCGAACGGG